rnacentral:lncRNA from 1 species
UUGACUUCCAUGUUUAUAAAAAUUUUAAUGAAGAAUUUUUUGCAUCUUCUAUAAAAUCUCUACUAAAUAUGUUGUUGAUCAGUGUCCCUCACAUGAAGAUUCAUAAUCCUAUUUGAAUCCAGAAAUAGAAUAAAAGUUUAUCUAACUGGGAAAAUAGGUUUCAUUUAAUCUGAUAAUUACAUAAGCCAGCAUAGUCUCUUUUUUAUUUGAGAAUCAAAACCAGUCUUACAGAUCAGUCUGACUGACUGAAUUAGCAUAGAUACGGAGCAGAAAAGUAAAUUGCUUUUCUGUAUGUGUUAAUAUUCUUUUAUUUUAAAUGUAUUCUUUUCUGAAAGUAGGCAAAGUAUAAAUUAAAGAGAAAAUGUAGAUAUUUUGCAAAUCACUGUUUACAUUUGGCAGGAAUAAUACAAAUCAAACAGUCUUCAUAUGUAUGUUCAAUUCCUUUCUGUUCACACAGGUGUCUCAGCAAGCUUCGACCCCCCUCAGCCAGGGCCUUCUGAAGGAACACCUCUUGUCCAGAGCUUUGGCUAUGUCACAGCUAAAGGGGCUGAAGGCUGAAAGGUGAAUAAAUAAGUACAAAGGAAUCAUCAGUACAACGAGAGACAAAGAUAAUUCUAUCAUCAGUCUUCAGAACUGGAGUACAACACAACGAGCCAAUAACAGGAGCACUGAAACGAGGUCCAGUGGACAAAAAGGGGCCAAUAAAUUUUAACAUGAAGCUUGAGAGGACGCUAUUCUUGGAGUUUGGAGGCAGGUGGGGUCAGCAUCACCAGAACUAUUAUAGAACUCCACAUAAUCAACAUGGAGAGACUGACGGCAGGCACCACUCAAGUUACAGGUCAUACUGUGCUUUCCUGAGAUCAUUACUAGAGACAUGAGAAGGAAUGGAGGGUAAAGGACGUUGGGCCAAGAAAGCAUUGUAGUCAUCCAGUGGACAAAUUACUAGAUCCGCUAGUAAUCUAGUGGACAGAGGUAAGCCCUGGAAAUUGUCCAUUUUCAAUUCUUUUCCUUCUAGAGACUGAACCUUAUCGUGCUCUUCACUGUCACACACAAUUAUAGUCCAAUUCGUUCCACAUCUAAAAUGCUUGUAGGUGAAUUUGUUUUGGGGGAAAAACACGGUAAAUCAAGGGAUAAAAAUAUAAACAGAGGGUGGUCAAUUAUAGAAAAUCAAAUAUAUGUUUGUCCUAAAUAAUAGUAAGACUCUUCCUCUCCCCUCUUUGGUGUAUUUUGUAAAAGCUAUAAAACAAUUCUCAUACACAAAGGACCUUUUUGCUUAUUGAGAUCAUUGUUUCAGUUGCCUGAAUCCUCAUUCUUGGUGAUCUUUCUUGUUUCUUACUAAGCAUGAUACUUGAUAAUUCCUGUUUAAUAGGGGAGCCACCCAUGAAUAUUUUCUCUCUCUCUCUCACAC